rnacentral:tRNA from 4 species
GGUGCGGUAGUUCAGUUGGUUAGAAUGCCAGCCUGUCACGCUGGAGGUCGAGGGUUCGAGCCCCUUCCGCAUCGCCA